AUACAGAGGGUGCGAGCGUUAAUCGGAAUUACUGGGCGUAAAGCGCGCGUAGGCGGCUGAUUAAGUCAGAUGUGAAAUCCCCGGGCUCAACCUGGGAACUGCAUCUGAUACUGGGUAGCUAGAGUUUAGGAGAGGGAAGUAGAAUUUCAGGUGUAGCGGUGAAAUGCAUAGAGAUCUGAAGGAAUACCAGUGGCGAAGGCGGCUUCCUGGCCUAAAACUGACGCUGAGGUGCGAAAGCGUGGGUAGCAAACGGGAUUAGAUACCCUGGUAGUCC
rnacentral:rRNA from 1 species